rnacentral:lncRNA from 1 species
CGGGCCCCCGCUGCGCCCACGCCCCGCCGGACCGCUCCCGCCUGCCAGGAAUCUGAAGAGAAGAUGGCAAAAGAGUCUGAGAGGCAGUGGCCAGAAGGAGAAGGAAAGCAGGUGGAUGUGAAGAAAGUGUUCAACGUGGAGGGAGGAACCAGCCAUGUCAAAUGAUGCUGACAGCCAGGCAAGAUGAGGACCAAGAAAUGUCCACUGCAUUUAGCAAAAUGAGGACAUUGGUGACCUUGACAAGAACAGUGUCAGGGAUGACAGUGUGAUUGGGGUGGAUUCAAGGGAGAAUGGGAGGAGAGAAUUUGGAGAUGAUGAGUCCAGACAAUCAUUUUGGAAGUGGUAAGAACUGGGGCCAUUCUCCUGGGGGAGGAAGUGGGGUCAAGACAAGGUAUCUUUACAUGGGAGAGAUGGCAACAUGGUAGCAUGCUGCUAGGAGAGACCCCAUAGAGAGGGAAAGAUUGAUGGUGCAAGGGACAGAAGGGAGACACUGGAGCGAUGUCCUUGAGCAGCCAGGAGGGCAUGGGAUGAAUGUUGCAGGGGGAGGGGCUGGCCUGAGCCAUGGCGUGAAAAGUUCAUCCACAGAACAGGAGAGGGACAGACACAAAACGCGGGCAUGCGGUGAGGCAGCGGGUGAGGUGGGGACAGAUGCUCGUGAGCAUCUCUUCUGAUUGCUUUUAUCUUCUUCGUGAAGUAGGAAGCUGAGGCAUCACCCGAGAAGAAGGCUCAGCGAGUCCGUGUAAGGCAAGCGGGACUGUAAGCUCCAUGAGGACAGGAACCUUGUCUCUUGUUCGCCAUCGCCCCGCUGUGUGAGCACAGUGCUAGGGAUGUACUAGGUGUUCAAAAGGCAUAUAUUGGAUGAUGAGCUAAUGAAUGGCAAAAUGGGCAGAUUAUCACAGUACCUGAAACCACAGGACCUCACCCUAAAUGGGCACAGGCCAGAUGCCCAGUGCUUUUUUUUUUUUUUUUUUUUUGAGAUGUGGUCUCACUCUGUUGCUCAGCCUGGAGUGCAGUGGCGCAAUCACCAACCACUGCAGCCUCGACUUCCUGGGUUCAGGCAAUCCUCCCACCUCAGCUUCCUGAGCAGCUGGGACUACAGGUGUGCACCACCACACCCAGCUAAUUUUUGUACUUUUUGUAGAGACAGGGCUUUGCCAUGUUGCCCAGGCUGUUAUCGAAUUCCUGUGCUCAAGUGAUCCACCCACCUCCACCUCCAAAAAUGCUGGGAUUACAGGCGUGAGCCACCAUGCCUAGCCUGCCCGGUGCUAUUCUGAUUCAUACACUUAUAUUUAUAGCCAUCAAAUCUCAGGGCUUCCUUGGGUCCCUGGGCGACCUCUGGCCAGUCUCUUUCCUGCUCUUGCCUCUCUCACCGAGCUUAGAAGAGGCUAGGCUUAGGGCUUCUUGUAAAAUGACCAGCUUUCUCUAAUUGAAGACCAGGGUACCCUAUCACAUUUGUAUCUAUUCUUUGCUCUUUUUCUCUUUCCUAGUGACCCUCAUGUUGUCAUAUUUGUUGCCAAGCUCACUAAGGAGGGCACCACGGGACCAGGGUUGUCACCUCUAGGCAGAGGGGAAGCUUGAAAAUGACAACACAUGGCCCUAGGAUGUUCAUAGGCACCAUCACAAUUCAACUGCUUCCUCAAGGCCCAGGGAAUAUUUUUCUUUGCAAACUACUAGUAUUCUAUCAGUAUGACUAGUAGUUUAAAUUGUUUGGAAUCUUCUGGUCCAAGGCAGAGCUGUGGGGCUGUGGAGGCAAAGUCCUGCCUGAAAUGGGACCCCCUGCAGGGUGCCUGAAGUCUAAGGGUCUGGGUCCUCAGCCACGGAUCACACAGCCUGGAGCCUGUGAGUGGGGAGCCCCUGCCACACUUCCCUCAGCCAGAAUCCUAAACCCGCAGGAGUCCCGGGGCUCUGCGACACUCUCUAGCCCAACUCUCUUCAACACCAAACCCCUUAUGCAUCUGUCAGAUGGUCCUUCAACUUCUGGGUGAAGUGCCGGUUUAAAAGUGAACUGCCAGAGAAGCAGUCGCUCCAGAUGUCUUCAAAGGCCAGUGUCUGUAACCCCAUCUGUUCUUACCUCAAAGGCCAGGCUCCCAUCCAUCAUGAUGGGGAGAGGUGGGAAAGGGCUGGCUGGUCCUGUCAACUCCGAUAAACAGGUGAAACACUGGCCAGGUGUU